UGAUAAAAUCUUGAUCUCGAUCGUCUAGCUUUACAUAACUAUCAAGUAUUUUCAGGCAUAACCAACAAGCUCGAAUCUACAAGCAAACCAACAUGCUCUUCAAAUCAACUAAAUAUGAACAGGGUCCAUUUGCGGUUAAAUAACAUGGUUCUCUCCUAAUGAAAAUACUAAAGACAUAAUUUAAGAAAAACAUCAAGGAUCAAACACGGACACCACUUCCGAUGGCUUUUUAUCAAGUAUUUUCAGGCAUAACCAACAAGCUCGAAUCUACAAGCAAACCAACAUGCUCUUCAAAUCAACUAAAUAUGAACAGGGACAUGGUCCAUUUACGGUUAAAUAACAUGGUUCUCUCCUAAUGAAAAUACUAAAGACAUAAUUUAAGAAAAACAUCAAGGAUCAAACACGGACACCACUUCCGAUGGCUUUUACUCAUCACCAAAACAGACCAAUCUUAUACAUUAUAUUGCUAGAAAUGCAUUUAGUCAUGGUAGUUUUCUUUAAAAAAAAAUGAAUGAAUUAUGAAUCCAGUAACUUAGCACAUAUUUUUCAUGUAAUCCUCCUAAUGAAGAAAGCUUGAGCAAAAGAUAGCAUAUUAAUUUUUGGUAGACUGACCUUUUGGAGAGCAGCGAACUGAAACUGAAGCCCUUCAGUUACAAUUCUACUCUCGAAUACGAAUGAUUCUGAGUUUUAAACACUCGAUUUCGGGAUCACAACAAAAAAAAAGUGAUAAGCUUUGCUGAGAGGAGAGAUGCGGCGGAGGAUCAAAAGCUUUGUAUUUAUAGAGAAAAACUAGGGUUCACUUUCUUGAGCGGGAAUUGGUCCUUCAAUUUGGGUCUAUUCAACUGUUCACGUGAUUGAUACGGACACAACACGAAAAUGGAGUAACAUAUUCUGCCAUGCUUAGUGAAGCUUGUUGUUUGCCCAAAAAUGGAAGCGGCACUUUGGGAGGGGGAAA
rnacentral:lncRNA from 1 species